CAGCAUGUUUUCAAGGGCUGUGGCUGAUGGGAUCUCCAACUGCAGGUUAGAACAGCUUGGAGAGACUUUGACUUUGACUGUCUGUAGUUGCCAUUCACCCUUCCUAUAAUA